CCGGCUGCCCUAGCAAAAUGACGGAGCCAAGCCGUGGAGAGUCGCGCGCUAUCGCGCGUCUGGCAUACAGGACGCCUGGGAGCCAAACCUCGUGCCCGGCAAUCUAGACCUGGAGUACCGGGGAGCACCUGUGCCUCAAUCCAGACAUUCCACCCUUCUCCCACGCAUUUUACCCAGCGCGGAGAAGGAGAGAAAACUGCCCCCGGGCUGCGGGAACCAGCGACCGUAGAGCCUGCGAGGUGGGGUCGUUCGGGCCUUAAGCAGAAGCCACUCUUGAGAAUUUAACUAAAAUGAGAAGCGUCGAAAUAAACUGACGUAUUCCCAAGUGCGUUUGUUGUUUCAGCAAAUAGUUCCUGAGCACUAACGGUCCGGGGAUUGCCAGCCUGGAAAGUUACACCCUAUUUGGAAUGUGUAUUUUACGCAGAAAAUUAAAAUCAUCAGAUGAUUCGUUCACUUAGAAAUAAAUAGGUCCCGAGCACUACUCUAGGAGCUGGGACAAAGGGUGGGGGUGGGGGGCAAGAUCCGGACACAGAGGCCGAUGCUGUGCAAGUUGGCCGGUGUGGCUGGAGCCAAAUGAGUUAAGAGGGUAGGUUGUAGGGAACGGGACAAGGGGAGGUAAAUGAUGUAAAGCCCGAUUCCCCAUUGUAAGGACUUUUACUUUCAGUGAAAGAGGAGUCUCUCAGUGAAAUGGGAGUCGUUUUGAGCAGAAGGGUAAUUGGGUAAUCUACAUAGAGUCAUUGGAGGUACUACUUUGUAGUGGAAGAUGGACGGCCAGUGAGUGAGGAAGCUACUCUUGUAAACUAGGCUAGCGAGAUGCUAGUGGCUAAGACCAGGGUGGUAGCAAUGCAAAGGAAGUGUGAGGCGUAGAAGAUUCUGGAUUGUGAUCUGAAAGUAAGCUAACGGUUUUUUCUGAAGGAUAAGAUGGGGGG